rnacentral:lncRNA from 1 species
AUGAUCCAGUGUUUGACGCACCAUCAUAGGCUUUUCUACAACACAGCAUCUAACAAAACUAGGCUGUCCCAAACCCUGGUAUUGUUUACCUUUAUAUCAAGAAGGUAGGGAAAGCACCAAUGUCUGCAUGUGGCGUGUGCCCAGGCAGACUUCAAGGGAUUUAUGCUGUGAGACCUCAAGUUCUUGUGAGGUUGUCUAAAAUUUUAAAAAGUGUCAGCACGACCAAUGGUGUUUCCAUGACUGCUAAAUGUAUCCACGACAGGACCAAGCAUGCUUUCCUUUCAAAGAGCAGAAUGUCGUCGUGAAAAUGUUGAAGGCACAAGCCCAGAGUCAGAAAGCUAAAUUUAA